GAGAUUAGCUUGUGAGAUCAGCAGACAACAGAAAGACAGACACUUUUUAAACUCACUCUGUGUGGAAUCUAAAAUAGUCAAAACUCAUAGAAGCAGAGAGUCAACGGGAAUAUUUAGGUGAUGUUCAUGUUGCACAUUAUUAACAUUGAGAUCAGCCAGUGGAGAGGAAUGGAUUAAAGCUGUCCAGCUGCAUUGGAGGGAUUCCACACCCUGGAGGGACAUCCAAAGAUGCAGAAAAUGUCUGGUGCCGCAGUCUGGCUGGGCACAAUUCAGGAGCCACUUGUCAA